rnacentral:rRNA from 1 species
AGUGAACGCUGGCGGCAGGCCUAACACAUGCAAGUCGAACGGCAGCACAAGAGAGCUUGCUCUCUGGGUGGCGAGUGGCGGACGGGUGAGGAAUGCAUCGGAAUCUGCCCAUUUGUGGGGGAUAACCUCGGGAAACCGGGACUAAUACCGCAUACGACCUACGGGUGAAAGCAGGGGAUCUUCGGACCUUGCGCAGAUGGAUGAGCCGAUGCCGGAUUAGCUAGUUGGAGGGGUAAAGGCCCACCAAGGCGACGAUCCGUAGCUGGUCUGAGAGGAUGAUCAGCCACACUGGGACUGAGACACGGCCCAGACUCCUACGGGAGGCAGCAGUGGGGAAUAUUGGACAACGGGCGCAAGCCUGAUCCAGCCAUGCCGCGUGUGUGAAGAAGGCCUUCGGGUUGUAAAGCACUUUUGUUGGGAAAGAAAAGCAGCCGGUUAAUACCCGGUUGUCAUGACGGUACCCAAAGAAUAAGCACCGGCUAACUUCGUG